CAUAAAACGGGCUUUUUCGACCUCAGGAACCCGAAAAAGCCUAUUCGGCAGCCGCCAGAGCCCGCUUGGUAUGGGCUGACGAGUGCAUGAAAUCGGAGAUCCGGGGCACGAUUUCCGACCUGAAGCGGGAGCCGUUGAACACGCCGUAAUGACCGACGCCCUUCUGUACAUAAUGUACCCGCCGCGCGUCCGGAAUCGAACUGCACAGCCCGUGGCUGGCUUCAGUCUGACCCAAACCUGAGAUGUCGUCGUUCUCGCCCUCCACCGUCAUCAGCGCAACGCGCCGAAUCUUCGA
rnacentral:misc_RNA from 1 species